rnacentral:rRNA from 1 species
GAUGAACGCUGGCGGCGUGCCUAAUACAUGCAAGUCGAGCGAACAGACGAGGAGCUUGCUCCUCUGACGUUAGCGGCGGACGGGUGAGUAACACGUGUAUAACCUACCUAUAAGACUGGGAUAACUUCGGGAAACCGGAGCUAAUACCGGAUAAUAUAUUGAACCGCAUGGUUCAAUAGUGAAAGACGGUGUUUCUGUCACUUAUAGAUGGAUCCGCGCCGCAUUAGCUAGUUGGUAAGGUAACGGCUUACCAAGGCGACGAUGCGUAGCCGACCUGAGAGGGUGAUCGGCCACACUGGAACUGAGACACGGUCCAGACUCCUACGGGAGGCAGCAGUAGGGAAUCUUCCGCAAUGGGCGAAAGCAUGACGGAGCAACGCCGCGUGAGUGAUGAAGGUCUUCGGAUCGUAAAACUCUGUUAUUAGGGAAGAACAAAUGUGUAAGUAACUAUGCACGUCUUGACGGUACCUAAUAAGAAAGCCACGGCUAACUACGUG